UACGUAGGGUGCGAGCGUUGUCCGGAAUUACUGGGCGUAAAGAGCUCGUAGGUGGUUUGUCGCGUUGUUCGUGAAAACUCACAGCUUAACUGUGGGCGUGCGGGCGAUACGGGCAGACUAGAGUACUGCAGGGGAGACUGGAAUUCCUGGUGUAGCGGUGGAAUGCGCAGAUAUCAGGAGGAACACCGGUGGCGAAGGCGGGUCUCUGGGAAGUAACUGACACUGAGGUGCGAAAGCGUGGGGAGCAAACAGG
rnacentral:rRNA from 1 species